rnacentral:rRNA from 1 species
CCUACGGGCGGCAGCAGUGGGGAAUAUUGGGCAAUGGGCGCAAGCCUGACCCAGCAACGCCGCGUGAAGGAAGAAGGCCCUCGGGUUGUAAACUUCUUUUGUCAGGGACGAAGCAAGUGACGGUACCUGACGAAUAAGCCACGGCUAACUACGUGCCAGCAGCCGCGGUAAUACGUAGGGGGCAAGCGUUAUCCGGAUUUACUGGGUGUAAAGGGCGUGUAGGCGGGGAAGCAAGUCAGAUGUGAAAUUCCAGGGCUCAACCCUGGAACUGCAUUGGAAACUGUUUUUCUUGCGUGAUGGCGAGCCCGGCGGAUUUCCGUGUGUAGCGGUGACAUGCGUAGAUAUACGGAGGAACCCCAGUGGCGAAGGCGGCCUGCUGGACAUUACCUGCCGCUGUGGCGCG